AACUGGGCAGAGGGAUCCUCCACCCCUCGUCACUGGCUCCCUUCAGGUGCUGGAAGAUUACUAUAAGGUUUCCCUGGAGCCUUCUUUUCUUCAGGUUGAGCAGGCCCAGCUCUCUCAGCCUGUCCCCAUAAUGGAGGUGCUCCAGCCCUUUGAUCAUCUUCCUGGCCUUCCUCUGGACCCACUCCAGCAGUUCAGUGUCUCUGUUAUGUUGAAGGCACCAGAACUGAAUGCAGUACUCUAGGUGAGGUCUCAUGAGAGCAGAGUAGACAGAGGAGAAUGACUUCAUUUGUCCUGCUGGUCACACUUCUUUUGAUGCAGACUGGGACACAGUUGGCUUUUGAGUUGCAAAAGCACAGUGCUGGCUGGUGUUGAGAUUUUUUUGUUGUCUGACACCCCCAGGAUUGCUCAUGUCUCCUAAAUAUGCUCUCUUUCUUACUUUUGACUUGCUAGGUGUAUUUUUUACUAAUGGAAAAAAAAGUCUCAUCAGCAAAUGUGGAAGUAAACCAGCUCAUGCAAAUAAAGUCCUGAAAAUCUAGUUACACCAUUGUGCAAUGUAUUAGAAAUGAAAGCAAAAUUACUGUGAAUGUGGGAAAAACAAUUACACAAUUCUACCACAGCUUUACAACACGAGAAUCGGUGCUUAAAUUAGAAGAGGCAACUGAAGAAGUUUGAAUGUGCAUCUGUAAUACUGAGAGGCUAUUAUGCUCUUUGCAGAACUGCAUUGUGAGGCAUAACACAGAAAUAGAUAGUCAGUUACACGUGUAUUGAAAUAUUUUCUGGUUUAAAACAUCCAUCUCAAAGUGUUUGUUUCUAUUAAAGGUGUUGUUUUUUUUUCUGGUAGAAUAAAUUUUUGAGUUUGGACUGAA